rnacentral:pre_miRNA from 1 species
AGUGGGAUAGUUGGGUCAAAUGGUGAUUCUAUUCCCAGUUUUCCAAGGAAUAUUUACACUGCUUUCCAGAUUGGCUACACCAAUUUGCAUUCCCACCAGCAAU